UACGUAGGGUGCAAGCGUUGUCCGGAAUUAUUGGGCGUAAAGAGCUCGUAGGCGGUCUGUCGCGUCGGCUGUGAAAACCCGGGGCUCAACCCCGGGCCUGCAGUCGAUACGGGCAGACUAGAGUGCGGUAGGGGAGACUGGAAUUCCUGGUGUAGCGGUGAAAUGCGCAGAUAUCAGGAGGAACACCGGUGGCGAAGGCGGCCCGCUGGGCAACUGCUGACACUGAUGCGCGACAGCGUGGGGAGCAAACAGG
rnacentral:rRNA from 1 species